GAUGAACGCUGGCGGCGUGCCUAAUACAUGCAAGUCGAGCGAACGGACGAGAAGCUUGCUUCUCUGAUGUUAGCGGCGGACGGGUGAGUAACACGUGGAUAACCUACCUAUAAGACUGGGAUAACUUCGGGAAACCGGAGCUAAUACCGGAUAAUAUUUUGAACCGCAUGGUUCAAAAGUGAAAGACGGUUUUGCUGUCACUUAUAGAUGGAUCCGCGCUGCAUUAGCUAGUUGGUAAGGUAACGGCUUACCAAGGCAACGAUGCAUAGCCGACCUGAGAGGGUGAUCGGCCACACUGGAACUGAGACACGGUCCAGACUCCUACGGGAGGCAGCAGUAGGGAAUCUUCCGCAAAGGGCGAAAGCCUGACGGAGCAACGCCGCGUGAGUGAUGAAGGUCUUCGGAUCGUAAAACUCUGUUAUUAGGGAAGAACAUAUGUGUAAGUAACUGUGCACAUCUUGACGGUACCUAAUCAGAAAGCCACGGCUAACUACGUG
rnacentral:rRNA from 1 species